UUUAAACAAUUUUCAAAAGUUAUAACCAAACUAUAAAUAAAGAGAGUAUGUUUGAAAGAAAAAUUUGAAAACAAGGACCGAAUCGCAAAAAAAAAAAGAAAAUACAGACCACGUGUAUGCCCAGUCAUCGGCACGACGAAUUGCCGCGCGGAUCACGCUGUCACGGGUUCUACGCGAGCAAUCUGCGUGCCAGGCCGAUCGAACGGCUCGAGGGCACUCCUGCGUGCACGAACAACCCAGAUCAAUUCUUCGAACAAGCUUGAUCGAAUGGUCCAUGUGUCUUCAAUCGAACGGUUCAGAUUCGUUUCCCAAAUAAGUGGGAUUAGACGGCUCCUAGUCUCCAUGUCGACCCACACUGGACAGUCAGGAUUAGGAGAUGUGAGAUAUUUAAACCUUUUUACCCGACUCUUUAAACUCUAGCCGACACGCCUCGCUGGAGAAGAAGAAGAAAGGCAGCCGAAAGGAGACUCAGCACUGGAGGAACGCCAGUGCCACUGUGUCGGAACACCGAAAACACUCCGGUAAGUCAAAAUUUCUUCCCGUUCUUUCCGUUUCUCCACCCUUAGCUGCCUAACGUGUUUUUGAUGUAGAGUGGCCGAGAGAAGCCACAAACCGCGAGGAAGGAACGACAGAGCUCGGCUAAACCGCCACACCAGAGGACCGAAAUUGCCAGUAAGCACAUAUUUUUUCCUCCUUUUGACGAGAAACACCCCUUAACUACGAUUUAAACAGAUUUUCACCAAGAACCAACCAAAAAUAAUAUAACUGAGAGAAAGAGCCACCGAAGAAGGAGGAUAAGGUGACAGAGCAUGGCUGCGCUGCCGUGCAAGAACCCCAACCCGACU
rnacentral:lncRNA from 1 species